ACUUGGUCCACCAUGUGUAUAUAAACCACACGCCAGUUUAGACCAAAACACUCUCAAACCGAGAAGCAAACAAGACAGAGGCUCAGCUCUUCUAGUAUUACCUAACUCGAGAAAAAUGUUCAGCUAUAAGUUGCUGUUGGUUUGCCUCAUGGUCGUUCAUUGCGCCCUAAGCUUCCCUGUUGAAGAUGAAUUGGCUGGAGGUGAAAACAGUGCCGAAGUCCAGGUUGUUGACGACCUUUUGACUGCUGAACAUCACGGAGGCAAAUAUUUAGUUUUCUAUGCAAUAUUCUUGUCGAGUCAUAACAUUCAAACCGUCUGUGAUGUUGUCUUUGUCUAAUAAUGUUUUAGGAUUUACUCUAUUCUAUUUCAGUUAAUUCUGGUUUGGCUUAAUUAAUGUUAUACAGGAUACGGCGGCUAUUACAGACCAAGCUAUGGAUACGGCGGUUAUGGUGGUUAUGGAGGCUAUGGAAAUUACGGAGGUUAUGGAAAUUACGGUGGAUAUGGUGGAUAUGGUGGAUAUGGACACGGACAUGGACACCAUCAUCACCAUCACCAUGGUUACGGCAAGUAAACGUGACACCUAACAUUUCUUCGCAAAGAACCCUGAUCCACAAGUUGUUACCUUGCAUUGACUGCACAUCGCCAAUUCUCGAUUUUUUGUUGUUAUUUCGUUGUUAUCUAUUUGUUACCUUCUGUUAAGGAACCUGCUUAAAACCAUCGGCAAUAAACCUUAUGACAUUUUGGCUCUCAAA